CGCUUUCUUUUUGUUUCGCUGAGCUAUAGUUUCGGCCGAACUCUGCUUCACAGGUGAAGUGUCUGAAAAGGAAGUUUGGUCGUAUGUCAUAGUCGUGCUUAUACCAUGACAUCUUAUGGACGAGUUUAAGCACACGUUUGGGGUGACGAUUCGUGCAUCGUUCACGCACACACUCAUCUUUCUGCAGUUGGUUAUCCUGAUCAUUCGAUUUGGGAUGCUUGAUGGGACCAGGCUGCCGUUCGGGAAGUGUAGAAGAUUGUUGAGCAGUAAUGCAGUGGGGAUAGAAUGGCUUAGAACGAAAUCGUGUAUUCGUUCGGGGGAGACAGCAGUUGAGAAAGUUCCUGAUCAGAGGGCAUGAAGAAGGUCGGGUUGGUCGAUCGGGGUAGCCUGAGCUUUUCCGACGAAGAAGAGAAGAACAAAAAACCAGGGAGCAGCCAUAUGGGGUUAGAUCUGAAGCUUGAAAACUGUGUUUGAAUUCACGAGAUUUUUGGUGAAUUUAUAGCAGAGGAGCCUGGCUUGUGUUCUUCAGCGUUCAAUAUGAACAGUGACAGUUAGUUGAGAGAGGCAGUUCAUGCCUCAAACCUUAAUAUCUUCGAAAGCAUUAUAAUUUUUAAAUAAUCAAAAUUUUAUUGAAAAUUACUGCAAAUUCUCAAAGCUUGAGGGCCUUUCAGCAAUUAAAAAAAAAAAAAAAAUUAAGUCACGUGCUAAUGUGGAAUUCACACGUGUUGUAAACCAUUGGCCGAUGGGUUGCUGACAGCUUUGGAUUAUGCUUCGUUUAACAAAAUUCAUGAUAUUCCAAGCCCUAGAGGAAGGCAUAAUUUUUCCCAAUCUUCUUCGGAUUCAGGUCCUUGAAUUUUCGAUUGGAAUUCGUUAAUCUAGCUUUUCGAUCAUGCUUCUUUCUCCGGGUCGUUCUCCCCGGCAUAUCUCAGCCCCUUCGCCGUCGACGGUUUCCGAGAAUUCGAUCCAGAAUCCGCGGAGUUCGUCUUCGAUUACGCCUCAGAGCUCUAGGAAACAUCCCGAGGUUCUUGAUGAGGAUACUUAUGUGGAAGCGAUUGAGAAGAUUAUUGAGCGUGAUUACUUUCCCGACAUUUCAAAACUCAGAGAUCGUAUGGAUUGGCUUGAAGCGAUUAAAAGUGGAGAUCCGAUUCUAAUUCGAGAUGCGCAGUUGAAGAUCAUGGAGCGUCGUGGCCAGAAGGUUAAACGUUUGAAUCCUGAUGGUAAGUCCCGAACGCCUGGUUCCACUUUUAUGAGAAAUUUUACCCCGUUUGAUGAAUUUGAGGGCAAAACACCGAAAACCCCCGGCGUUGGUGGAAGUGGAAUUUCCGGUGAAACGGAGGAGGGUGAUUGUAACGGCAAGGUGAUGGAUGAAUCGCUGUCGCUUGAUGAGUUUUUUAGGCAAUAUACGAGCGAGGAUAAUUUAAGUUUUUCAAAAAUUCUGGACAAAGAUAAUAGGAAGAGAAAGGAGAGAUACGCGUAUUUGACGGAGGGUGAGAAGGAGGAUGUGAAAUCAAUUGAGGAUGUGAAGAGAGAUAGAAUAACUGAUGGUUAUGGGACCUCCGAUCAGCCGCCGAGUACCUUGGAAGGAUGGAACUACACUGCAAAAAAUUUAUUAAUGUAUCAUCCUUCCGAUAGAGGUGAGGCUCCACUGACAGAUGAAGAAAGGGCUGUUAGAUUGAAGGGCUUAACCAAAGAAAUUAGCCGAGCAAGCACUCGGUUCCACGGUAAAUUGAUCGAUGCGAGACCAAAAGACGAUGGUACAGUUGAAGUGCUCUAUACCCCUGUGGCUGGAACUACCCCACAUCCUGUGAUGGAUCGAAAUGGGGAUCGAUUGAAGAAGUACGAUUUGGGGGAUAUGAGGAAGACCCCAAAUCCAUUUUAUAUAGAAUCGGGGAAGAAGGCUGAGAAUGGCUACAGUUUUGUCCGUACACCGUCCCCUGCCCCUGGUGUUGAUGAAUCUCCAUUUAUUACAUGGGGUGAAAUUGAAGGUACACCCUUAAGACUAGAUCCUGAGGAGACGCCUAUCGACAUCGGUGGUACUGUUGAUGGGCCACGAUUUAAUAUUCCAUGUCCACCUGCUCGAGAUCAGAAGGCUCACUCACUCUCAAGGGAGGCCGCACGAAAGCUAAGGGAGAAAUCAAAGAUGUUUCAGAAGCCACCAUUGCCAUCACCUGUUAGAGGAGGAAGUGCUAGCCCAAGUGUUCGAAGGACGCUCUCUCCAGCCGCCCAGAAAUUUGUAAGGAAUGCAAUAGCCAAGUCGUCAUCUUCAUUUGAUGAAACUCUCCGUGCCAGUUACCGAGGUGGAAGCCCGAGUUCUGCAACGCCUAAAAGUGGGAGGAGUUUGUCUAGGUUUGCUAGAGAUGGGAGCUUUGGCUCAAGGUCACCUUCUGUUAAAGAAGAUUCUAAUCCUGCUUGGUGAUUUAAUUUUUUCCAAUCAAUAGAACUGCUUCAUGAAUUCUAACUAUUCUGUCUUGAAAAUCCCUUCUGUUCAAUGUCAUUGUUAAGAGGUUCCUAACAUUUUUGGAUAUUUCAAAGCUGAUGAACCGCCCAUUUGAUAAUCAUGGAGUCUUAAAAUAUGGCUCCUAUGAUGCCGUGGCUAUCACUUCUGCACUUAAUUUCUGUAAGCGUUGAUUUGAUAAAUUUCCAGCUUUCAAUUACAAAGAACGGGGAUCUCAAGUACUGGAAUCAUGGAAUGACAGUUUCAUCGUUCAAGAAAUGUGUAGUUUUUUGGUUGAACUCUCAAAUUGUAUUAUACAUUUCUGUGGAUUUGUAUUCAAUGUUUAAUGGAUGACAGAAGGAAUCUUGCCUCCGAAGUAAUAAUUAGUAGCGUAAAAUGAAGUUGUACAGGUAUCUCACUCUGCAGUGAACUUAACAAAAGCAAGCCUUGGGAUUGAGAAACAUGCUGCGGGGAAGCAAGCGCCGCCCUCUUUCCAAAGCAUUUUCCCAAGCCGUGCCGUCUUGGGUUGUGGUUCCCCGUCAGAUCUGAUUCACCUACUCAAAUG